rnacentral:tRNA from 1 species
GCCUGGCUGGCUCAGUCAGUAGAGCUGGUGACUCUUGAUCUCCAGGUUUGUGAGUUCAAGCCCCAUGUUGGGCC